CAGUCGCCGCGGUAAUACGUAGGCCCCGAGCGUUAUCCGGAUUUAUUGGGCGUAAAGCGAGCGCAGGCGGUCAGAUAAGUCUGAAGUUAAAGGCUGUGGCUUAACCAUAGUACGCUUUGGAAACUGUUUAACUUGAGUGCAGAAGGGGAGAGUGGAAUUCCAUGUGUAGCGGUGAAAUGCGUAGAUAUAUGGAGGAACACCGGUGGCGAAAGCGGCUCUCUGGUCUGUAACUGACGCUGAGGCUCGAAAGCGUGGGGAGCGAACAGGAUUAGAUACCCGUGUAGUCCCUGUCUCUUAUACA
rnacentral:rRNA from 1 species